AUUAUAGAAAAAUUAAAUUUAAUUUUACUUUUAGUGAAAAAUUUUCUAUAAUU
rnacentral:tRNA from 1 species